rnacentral:tRNA from 1 species
GAGGGUAUAGCUCAGUGGUAGAGUGCCUGCUUAGCAUGCACGAGGUCCUGGGUUCAAUCCUCAGUACCUCCG